rnacentral:rRNA from 1 species
AUUGAACGCUGGCGGCAGGCCUAACACAUGCAAGUCGAGCGGAUGAAGGGAGCUUGCUCCUGGAUUCAGCGGCGGACGGGUGAGUAAUGCCUAGGAAUCUGCCUGGUAGUGGGGGAUAACGUCCGGAAACGGGCGCUAAUACCGUAUACGUCCUGAGGGAGAAAGUGGGGGAUCUUCGGACCUCACGCUAUCAGAUGAGCCUAGGUUGGAUUAGCUAGUUGGUGGGGUAAAGGCCUACCAAGGCGACGAUCCGUAACUGGUCUGAGAGGAUGAUCAGUCACACUGGAACUGAGACACGGUCCAGACUCCUACGGGAGGCAGCAGUGGGGAAUAUUGGACAAUGGGCGAAAGCCUGAUCCAGCCAUGCCGCGUGUGUGAAGAAGGUCUUCGGAUUGUAAAGCACUUUAAGUUGGGAGGAAGGGCAGUAAGUUAAUACCUUGCUGUUUUGACGUUACCAACAGAAUAAGCACCGGCUAACUUCGU